rnacentral:misc_RNA from 1 species
UACGGAGGAUCCAAGCGUUAUCCGGAUCCAGUGGGUUUAAAGGGUCCGCAGGCGGGGUAUUAAGUCAGUGGUGAAAUCGUACGGCUCAACCGUGCAACUGCCAUUGAUACUGGUACUCUUGAGUAUAGUUGAGGUGGGCGGAAUAUGUCAUGUAGCGGUGAAAUGCAUAGAUAUGACAUAGAACACCUAUUGCGAAGGCAGCUCACUAAACUAUUACUGACUCUAAGGGACGAAAGCGUGGGAAGCGAACAGG